GUCCGGGAGAGCGGGAGGAUUACGACGACCUCAUAUUACGGGUGGGAGUGGAAGUGGGAGUGGGUGGACCUCCGUGGGGAGCCAGCGUGGAUAGAGUGCUGGGGUCAUCUCCCCGCCCCCUCCGCACGGCCAACACCGAGGUGACUUAAGGUGCCUAGUGUCGGUGUGAGGUCCAGGUUUAAAAUGUCAUCCCCGCCAGUGUGACAUCACCACCGCCUAGUGUGACACGUCCAGAGACUGAGCAGCGCGCGGGGAGGCAGCUGUUCUGGAGGCAGCAAGGAUCUGAGCCCUGGAAAGUGACUGUACAGAAUUAUGAUUCUACAUAUAAUGAUAGAGGCUGAAACUCCAAUACUUUGGCCACCUCAUGCGAAGAGCUGACUCAUUGGAAAAGACCCUGAUGCUGGGAGGGAUUGGGGGCAGGAGGAGAAGGGGACGACAGAGGAUGAGAUGGCUGGAUGGCAUCACCGACUCAAUGGACGUGAGUCUGAGUGAACUCCGGGAGUUGGUGAGGGACAGGGAGGCCUGGCGUGCUGCGAUUCAUGGGGUCGCAAAGAGUUGGACACGACUGAGCGACUGAACUGAACUGAACUGACUGAAGGGCGUAGUUAUGGACUCCAGUAUUUUUGCCUGGAGAAUUCCAUGGACAGAGGAGACUGGUGGGCUACAGUCCAUAGGGUCACACAGAGUUGGACACAACUAAGAGACUAACACUGUCACACUUAUCUAAACUCCAUCCCCUAGAUUCGUUCUUCCCUAUUAAUAGAAUCCCAGUUUCAUUCAGGUAGAAGGAAGAUCCUUUGAUUUCAAGGAAGCUAAGUUCCUCUCCGUUAAGUGAAAAAAUGAAAGUGUUAGCCACUCAGUCAUGUCCGACUGUUUGCGACCCCGUAGACUGUAGCCUGCCAGGCUCCUCUGUUCUUGGAAUUCUCCAGGCAAGAAUACUGGGGUAGGCAGCCAUUCCUUUCCCCAGGGGAUCUUCCCGACUGAGGGAUUGAACUUGGGUCUCCUGCAUUUCAGGCAGAUUCUUUAUCAUCUGAGCCACCAAGAAGCCCUUUCCCACCCCCAAAUCAGGGGCUAAAUCACAAUACGUCUAAAUCAAUCUGGUGAUACCAUUUCUCCUUGCCAAUGAUUGGUCUAGGAGUGGGUACAAGACACAGUUCUGGUUAAUGAAACAUGAAAGGAAGUCUUCUGGGAGGCUCUUAGGAAAUUGUUUAUUUUUGCAUAAAGAGAAAAUUUUCUUUUGCUCCUUUCUCUGUCUUUUGGCUAAGACAAAAGGAUGAAUACCCAAGGUCUGGAGCUACCAUGGCUGUCUUGUGCUCAAAUGGGGCAUCAGUCUUUGUUUUUAGUAACUAUCUUAAGUACAUUUUUCAUGUAAAAUGUGAACAGAGGAAUAAAUAUGCCAUUAUGUUAUCAUAUAUAAGGGAUAUUAGCUCAAGUAUGACAGGUACACUCUUGGGAAGAAGUGGUUAUCAUCCGUACAAGGCCGCAGAGAAGAGCAUGAUAUACAAAAUUGAAAAUGGAAUCACCCAUGCACAUUUGGAAGCUGCCCAGGAUAAUCAGGUCAUUUUGAGGAUUGGGUUCCAGCAGAAGUGAUGGCUUUGGCCGAACAUGAGCUUGGGUGAAGACUAUGCCUGUGGGGUUAAAGAGAAAGAGUCAAGGACUUCCCUGGUGGCACAGCAGAUAGGAAUUCACCUGCCGAUGCAGGGGAAAUUGGUUCGAUCCCUGGUUCGGAAAAAUCCUGUAGGCAACUAAAGCCUGUGCACCACAACUGCUGAAGCCUGUGUGCCUAGAGCCUGUGCUCUCCAACAAGAGAAGCCACCACAGUGAGAAGCCUGUGUACUGCAGCCAAGAACGGGAAAGUGACUCCAGAGCGAGGUGGCGGUGCACAACACUGUGAAUGCAUUAAAUGCCACUGAAUUGUACACUUAAAAAUAGUUGUUUGUUAUGCGAAUUUCACCUCAGUUUUUUUUUUUAAAAGGAGGAUGAAAGUUUGCAGGAUUUAGAAAUAAUGGGUAAAAGACUUCACCCCUAAUUUUUCUGAUUUUCAAGAGUCAACCCAGAGACUCUUCUGGGAGAAGAGCAAAUGCCUUAACCACUUACACAACAAUUAUGAGGGAAGGAGGGUUUGAGGUUUCAUUUCUGUUUCCUCCCUUAUCCACACAUAACCAUCGUCCUGUCUCUCAUUUUCUUCAUAUACUAGAUCUUUAUUCAGCAAAACCAAGGGAUAGUGCUUUUCUCUCCUUUUACCUGGAUCAGCAUCAUUCCUCAUUAUCAUGCCUCCAUCAUUUCCUAGCUUUUCACCUUUUCUUUGACCAACUGUUACAUGCAUGAGCUUUUAUCACUUUCAUUCCAUAUGUCAUUCCCUAUCAUCAGUUCUAAGCAAAAGCCAAAACAAAUGCUGGAAGAAUGCACACAAAGACCCACAAGGGAGAGGGCAAUAAAUCAGGACAGGACCUCAAAUUUUAAUAACUGAUUAUUACUUAUGCUGUGUCAUUUUGCAGUUCCUACAAACUCUGAAAUCAAAAAGACCUUAAUGAAAUAUCCCUUGCCUAACACAAUUCCUGAUAUGUGGUCGGUAAUAAUAGCUAUUUUGCUGAGUAAAUUACUGAGUGUUUAUUCAUAGUACUCAAAGCAUCAGAAUUCAGUAAACUAUAGAAUAGAGUUUA
ensembl:lncRNA